rnacentral:lncRNA from 1 species
UUUCCCCCUUGGACCUCAAAACUUUCAUAGAACCUUCUUCAUAGUGAACAAAUAUUACAGUGCACUGAUUCAAGGAUACAGAUGGAAAAAUGUCAAACUACUCAACCUGACGUCCCAAAAAUGGUCCCCAGAAGGGCUCCUCCGAAGCAGACACUCCGUAGCCUUAUUUAUGUGGAUUCUGACAAGAAGGUCGUGAGAAGCCAUUGCAAGAAUUUCAGGACCACACCCUCCAGAUUGGACAAGGUCACACAGCCUUCAAUAGCCCUCACCCUCUGUUACACACCGAGCUCCGAAAGCUGAUGAAGCAGAUCUACACCAAUUACAGAAAUCCCAGGGCAGGAUGAUGUUGAAUAAAUAAUGUAAACAACCAACAACUCAAGAAUUGACUGUGCUCUCUGAAAUGACUUAAGAGUGACUGGCGUCCCCAGCGGAGAGAGCUUCACUGUCCUUGAGACUCCGAUUCCAUCGCUGGUUCUGAGGAUGGACUUGGCGUUAUUCUCACCCGGAAGUUCUCACAGCUGUGUAACAAGUGGAAGAAAGCAAUAUGGAGACGGG